UACGUAGGGUGCGAGCGUUGUCCGGAAUUAUUGGGCGUAAAGGGCUCGUAGGCGGUCUGUUGCGUCGGGAGUGAAAACUCAGGGCUUAACCCUGAGCCUGCUUCCGAUACGGGCAGACUAGAGGUAUGCAGGGGAGAACGGAAUUCCUGGUGUAGCGGUGAAAUGCGCAGAUAUCAGGAGGAACACCGGUGGCGAAGGCGGUUCUCUGGGCAAUAACUGACGCUGAGGAGCGAAAGCGUGGGGAGCGAACAGG
rnacentral:rRNA from 1 species